AUACGGAGGGUGCGAGCGUUAAUCGGAAUUACUGGGCGUAAAGCGUGCGUAGGCGGUUGCCUAAGUCAGAUGUGAAAGCCCCGGGCUUAACCUGGGAACUGCAUUUGAAACUGGGUAACUAGAGUGUGGUAGAGGAAGGUAGAAUUCCUAGUGUAGCGGUGAAAUGCGUAGAUAUUAGGAGGAAUACCAGUGGCGAAGGCGGCCUUCUGGACCAACACUGACGCUGAGGUACGAAAGCGUGGGGAGCAAACAGGAUUAGAUACCCUGGUAGUCCACGCCGUAAACGAUGUCAACUAGUCGUUGGGCCUUUCGGGGCUUAGUGACGCAGCUAACGCGUGAAGUUGACCGCCUGGGGAGUACGGCCGCAAGGUUAAA
rnacentral:rRNA from 1 species